rnacentral:lncRNA from 1 species
GAGAGAGAGAGAGAGAGAGAGAGAGGUGAGUGCUGGAGAGAGUGCACAUGUGCAAGCCAAAGAGCCUGUAGCCAUUCAAAGCCUGCUAACCCACACAUACCAGACAAAUACAUUAAGAAGACUUUGAUCCCAACACCCAGCCAUUCUAGUCACUCCCAGCUGCUUGAGUCUUCUCAGCCGAGGCCUCAUACAUCAUAGAGCAAAGAGAAGUCAUCUUUGCUGACACUUGUGUGAAAAUCUGUAAGGAAAACAAAAUCAUGGUUAUUUAUGUGUUCUGGUGUAAUUUGUUACAGCAAAUUAAUGGCCUAAGACAGACUAUGAUGUGGAUUGCCAGAGUAGUGUUAUCUCAGUUACUGCUUUCUUUUGCCCUCAGGUGGAUGUGGCCAGGGUAGGGGUAGAGGUUGGGAGUUGGGUUGAUUUAGAAAUAUACGGUGUAUUCCCAACCAGGGAUACUAUUCAAUUAUACGUACAAGAACAGACUAAUGGAUGAUUGGUUAAAGUUAGUGCUUAAUCAUGGAAAAAUAUUUCUACUAUUCUAUUCCUUGCCUCCAAAAACAAUGACAUGAAUGUUGAAGUUUGAAAAUGGAGAACAGUUAGAAGGCAAGUUGUAUCAAUCUCUGAGUAUAAAAGGAUUUCACAGAGAAGAGGAUUUUGGCUUAACUAAAAUAGGCUGAAGGCAUUGUUAUAAAGGUUCACGUUCUAAUCUCAGAAAAUGAUCACAAACGGAGUUGUCCGGUGGCCAAAUCUUGUGUUUUGAUCUACAGGCCAGGGGCAGAGAGGAAGAAAAGAAUUGAAGACACAGAUGUGGUUACUCUGUCCAACUUUUCCUUUGGAACACUGAGUCUAAAGAAUCCACUUGGAAGCAGAGGACAUUGGCAACAAAGGGCCGUCUUCAGCAGCUGGUGCUGUCAUAAGUUUGAAGUUCAGUCUGGUGUUGGUGUUGGUGAAGGUCUGAUUGCACAAGUCUCCAAGACCUGCCAAAAUAGAUGCCAGCUUUGGCUCAUGAGCCAAAAGAAAACAUGAACCGAAAUGUUAGGGUUCUACAAACGUCCAGUGCCAGUUGGUCUGAGAGAGUAGUUGCAACUCUAAGACCUGUGCGUUUGCUGGUCAAUGAUUACUCCCCCAUCCAAUUGCACUUUCUGAAAUACACUGUAUAAUGACCUCUUAUAUAGCAAAUAUAGUAUCCUUUGUAUUAUUUAGAAUCAAAAACCUGAACUGUUAUUAAAUGCAUUAAAUGUGAUUUUAUUUCAACUGAACCCUGAU